rnacentral:misc_RNA from 1 species
UCAAUUCUCAACACGGGGGCGUAGAAAUACGCUUCUACGGUUGUUACACCCUUUGUCUUUUGCGUACUGUAUGUUUCCUCGGUGGGCUCGCCCGCCGAUAGGACAUUUCAAACCCAUUGUAAUUGCAAUCAGCGUCAGAAAAAAACUAUAAUAGUUA